ensembl:snoRNA C30C11.15 ncRNA
GAACAAAUGAAACCAUCUGGUUUUGGUUACCACGGAGAAAGAGGGGGAAAGAGCAAGUUGGGGAAAUGGGCAAAAAAUAAAGAGGAAGAGCACUUCGGUGUUGGGAAAAUUUGAGUCACUUUUGAGUUUUGUUAGACCAAAUUUUUGCUAAAUGAUUUUAGGAUAUGGGGAGAGUAUAGAUAACAUUUAGCAUAUAUAGUAGGUUCAUCUUCAGGUGUUCGUAUAACUUUUCAAUCAAAUUUUGCGAUUUCAACGAAUUUUUUUUCUAACUGCCAAUAAUUUACGAUCAU